ACACACGCCCAGACCUGCCUUCCGGGGACAGCCAGCCCUCGCUGGACCAGACCAUGGCCGCGGCCUUCGCCUCUCCGUAUGCAGGAGCUGGUUUCCCUCCCACCUUUGCCAUUCCUCAAGCUGCAGGUAUUCAAACGCUUGGUCUUGGUUCCCCAGCGACUGCAUGCCCACACCACCUUCCCAGGCAGCUCCGCAUCCACGGCGGCAGCCUGGGCGGACUGGGCACUCGAGUGCCAGGUCAGGGGCCCUUCCCGGGAGAGGGGACGCCACGUCCACAGAGCAGGCUUGGCCAGGGCAGUGGUAGGACAGGGCUGUGGAGGCCCACGUGUGGACGGCGCCAGCCAGAAGCCGCUAAUCGCACAGUCUUUGUGGUCUGGUUCCCUUCAAGCACCUCCGGGCGAGCGCGAGGACCGCCAGUGGUUGGAGGGAUGUCUCUAGUAGUUGAAUUUGAGUGGCCUGGUAAGCGCGCGGCCCGAGGCUGAGCAGCAUGACCGGCGGCGGGACGUGUGUGCGUGGCCGUCCUCCCGCUUCCCUUCUGGGACCGGGGCCCGGCCGCCCCAGUGCUGGCCGUGGACGGAGCAGCGCGUGCCGCCCGGCGGCCG
rnacentral:lncRNA from 1 species